GAUGAACGCUGGCGGCGUGCUUAACACAUGCAAGUCGAACGGCGAAGCAGAGCUUGCUCUGUGGAUCAGUGGCGAACGGGUGAGUAACACGUGAGCAACCUGCCCUGGACUCUGGGAUAAGCGCUGGAAACGGCGUCUAAUACUGGAUACGAGACGUGGCCGCAUGGUCAACGUUUGGAAAGAUUUUUUGGUUCAGGAUGGGCUCGCGGCCUAUCAGCUUGUUGGUGAGGUAAUGGCUCACCAAGGCGUCGACGGGUAGCCGGCCUGAGAGGGUGACCGGCCACACUGGGACUGAGACACGGCCCAGACUCCUACGGGAGGCAGCAGUGGGGAAUAUUGCACAAUGGGCGAAAGCCUGAUGCAGCAACGCCGCGUGAGGGAUGACGGCCUUCGGGUUGUAAACCUCUUUUAGCAAGGAAGAAGCGAAAGUGACGGUACUUGCAGAAAAAGCGCCGGCUAACUACGUGCCAGCCGCCGCCGUAACAC
rnacentral:rRNA from 1 species